GGCCCCUUAGCUCAGCGGUUAGAGCAGUCGACUCAUAAUCGAUUGGUCGCUGGUUCAAACCCAGCAGGGGCCA
rnacentral:tRNA from 1 species